UACGUAGGGUGCAAGCGUUAAUCGGAAUUACUGGGCGUAAAGCGUGCGCAGGCGGUUUUGUAAGUCUGACGUGAAAUCCCCCGGGCUCAACCUGGGAAUUGCGUUGGAGACUGCAAGGCUGGAGUCUGGCAGAGGGGGGUAGAAUUCCACGUGUAGCAGUGAAAUGCGUAGAGAUGUGGAGGAAUACCGAUGGCGAAGGCAGCCCCCUGGGCCAAUACUGACGCUCAUGCACGAAAGCGUGGGGAGCAAACAGG
rnacentral:rRNA from 1 species